UACGUAGGUGGCAAGCGUUGUCCGGAUUUAUUGGUUUGAAAGGGUGCGUAGGCGGCUUUGUAAGUCAGUGGUGAAAUAUGGCAGCUCAACUGUCAAGGUGCCAUUGAUACUGCGGAGCUUGAGUACAGAUGAGGUAGGCGGAAUUGACGGUGUAGCGGUGAAAUGCUUAGAUAUCGUCAAGAACACCUAUAGCGAAGGCAGCUUACUAGGCUGUAACUGACGCUGAGGCACGAAAGUGUGGGGAUCAAACAGG
rnacentral:rRNA from 1 species